rnacentral:rRNA from 1 species
AACCUGGUUGAUCCUGCCAGUAGUCAUAUGCUAGUCUCAAAGACUAAGCCAUGCAUGUCUAAGUAUAAGUAUUAUACAGCGAAACUGCGAAUGGCUCAUUAAAACAGUUAUAAUUUAUUUGAUAAUCGAAUUUACAUGGAUAACCGUGGUAAUUCUAGAGCUAAUACAUGCUGGUAGGCCCGACUUUUUGGAAGGGCGGUAUUUAUUAGAUAACAAACCAAUAUUCCUCUGGUCUCUUGUGGUGAAUCAUAAUAACUGAUCGAAUCGCAAGGUUUUUAACCGCGAUAAGUCAUUCAAGUUUCUGCCCCAUCAGCUUUCGAUGGUAGUGUAUUGGACUACCAUGGCUUUUACGGGUAACGGAGGAUUAGGGUUCGAUUCCGGAGAGGGAGCCUGAGAAACGGCUACCACAUCUAAGGAAGGCAGCAGGCGCGUAAAUUACCCAAUCCUGACUCAGGGAGGUAGUGACAAGAAAUAACGGACCGAGGCCUUCGGGCUUCGGGAUUGCAAUGAGCCGAAUUUACACCCCUUAGCGAAGAUCGAUUGGAGGGCAAGUCUGGUGCCAGCAGCCGCGGUAAUUCCAGCUCCAAUAGCGUAUAUUAAUGUUGUUGCAGUUAAAAAGCUCGUAUUGGGAUUUCUGGGAAAGUGCAUAUGU